rnacentral:tRNA from 1 species
GGACGCAUAGCUCAGUUGGUAGAGCAGCUGACUCUUAAUCAGCGGGUCCUAGGUUCGAGCCCUAGUGCGUCCACUA